rfam:Ornithorhynchus anatinus chromosome 18, whole genome shotgun sequence.
AGCAGGGUGGCUUAGUGGAAAGAGCAAGAGCUUGGGAAUCAGAGGAUGUGGGUUCUAAUCCCAGCUCUGCCA